GAGGUCCAACCUGCCCAGUGACAUCAAUUCAACGGCCGCGGUAUACUGACCGCGCUAAGGUAGCACAAUCACUUGUCUCUUAAAUGGGGACUAGUAUGAAAGGACCCACGAGAAUCUAACUGUCUCCUUUUUUUAAUCCGUGAAACUAAUCUCCCCGUGAAAAAGCGGGGAUUAACAUAUAAGACGAGAAGACCCUAUGGAGCUUUAGAUAAAGCAAUACUUUCUUCUUAUUUUACCCUCAGCAAUUGUAUCCUAAAAGCACUUUAUUGCUAAUCUUCGGUUGGGGCGACCACGGAGAAAAACUAAACCUCCAUGCUGAAUGGAAACCUUCCCACAACAAAGAACUACAGUUCUACGAACCAAAAAAUUGACAAUUGACCCAAUAUUUGAUCAACGAAACAAGUUACCCUAGGGAUAACAGCGCAAUCUACUUCAAAAGUCCUUAUUGACAAGUGGGUUU
rnacentral:rRNA from 1 species